GGUAACUAAGCCUAUAUAUAUUGUGGUCCACCCAGUUUUUCCUUAAAGACUCGUCUAAUCUAACUGAUAUCCUCAGAUUGAAAAAUGCCAGAAGUACCUGAGUGCCAGGUUAUGAAAGAAGAGCUGGACAAAUGCGUUCAGGGGAAAGGUGCGGAGGGCUGUAAGGAGCUGCUGGAAGCCUUUGAGGACUGUGUGAAGGGUGCCACAGCAGCCUCAUGAGGACGACAUGGUUUCAAAUAUGGGUCCUUCCUUUCUGGGUCCUCCAAUGUCCUUGCAUUCCCUCACAUUGCACUGGACUGAACCAUUUUAAGGACAGUGAAGGGGGUGCAAGUGCUGGAAGGCAAUGAAAAUGUCUAUUUUGACCCUGAGAAGUCUUGUUGGUGUCCCUCUAGUCAUCCGUGUCAUUUGUAACUGUGGCAGAAAGAACAACCCAGUGUUGUUAGUUUGUCAAAUUCAA